ensembl:misc_RNA Metazoa_SRP Metazoan signal recognition particle RNA
GCUGGGCGUGGUGGCGCACGCCUGUAAUCCCAGCCACUCGGGAAGCUGAGGCAAGAGAAUCGCUUGAACCCAGGAGGUGAAGGUUGCAGUGAGCCGAUAUUGGGCCACUGCACUCCAGCCUGGGUAACAGAGGGAGACUCUUGUCUUUU